GUGGCUGAGUGGUUAAAGUGUUUGAUUAUAAUAAUCAAGGUUGUGGGUUUGAGUGUUGUAUGAUUUCACACUAAAAAUCACCUAUAGUUUACCACACUGCACAAUGGGUACCUGAACCAUUGGGUUAGGGCAGUCAAAGGUGGUCAGACUUAAUGCUGGGUACAGCAUUCCCUUGUGCACUAUUGGCUGUGAAACUGAUGUCCUUAACUGUGUCAGCCAGAUGAGCCAUUAGCUUUGGGGAACUUUGAUGCUAUUACUGCUUCUUUUGCUGUUGUAACUGCAACUGAUUGCAGGCAAACAAACAACAACCAACAAUAAAAUAACAUCAAAGGCCUAUGAGAAAUAUAUGAUGCUUUAUGUAUUUGCCUGACCUGCUCUCUGGAGCUGGACAAAAGAAGGUAGUGAAUGGUAUUACUACAUUGUCAUGACCCACAGGUCUCAAGCAUGUAGCUUUAGGGUUUAUAGGAGCAGCCAUACUCCAGCUCUCUAUUUGGUAGCCUGCUGAUGCUGGCUCACCUAGUACCCAUGAAGCCCAGCUUCAGUUUGAGGCUCUGCCCCUCCAGUCUAAUUGGUUGUCUCCUGACUCUGACCCCCUGGUAUCCUGACCUGGCCUGACUUGUGGUUCUUUUCUACAGUUUGUCUCCUGCUUCUAUCCUGCUAGUAUGCUGACUCCUGACUGUGACUCUGACUACUAGGUCUGGCUGCUCACAACCUGGUUGUGAUAUACACGAGCUACAUCAUUUCACUAAUGAAGAAUCUUUGUAGUGCUACUGUGUAUGUCCAGAAUUAGCCAUAUUCAGUGAAUUUUCAAUAUCCCUGUUCUCUUGAGGAGGAACUGUGUUCAUGGAGGAAGGUACUACUCAACAGGAGCAAGAGUGGCAGAAUCUGGUCCUUAAUUAUGAAAUCUAGCAAAGGAGCUAGGUGAGUGAACAUUUUGUCUGCCCUGGAAUAUCAGAAGAAACACAGAGAGUGAGCAACAGUGGGAGUGGUGGCCUAGAAUGUGGAAAUCCACUGCUAGGAGCAGUCGCCACCAAGAGGCUGAAGUCCACAGGUGUCAUUCCCGCCCUACUCUGAGCAGAACAUAUCAUAGAUCAUCCAGACUUGCCCUCUCCUGGAUUUUGGAUUUACUGGUAAGUUAAAUUACAAGCAAACAUAAACUCAGACUAAACUUUCUUCAUAAACUUGGGAUUCCUAGAUUUAUCCCUACAGAAACUCUCUGGUCUGGAUUCUAGUUCCCUUCAUUCCUGAAAAUGGCUCUGAUCAUUUUUAUAUCCAAUUUGGCGCUAACUGAAUCCACUUGCUAGCAUGAUUCAGCUCUAGAUUCAGACUCUACAGUGUCCUCAUGCAGGAUUCAAGCGUCUCAACAGACGACCUUACAUAGGGAUUCAGGACUCCAAGGAUUGGCCACUCUAAAAUAUUAUUAUAACAAUUUAUGGAUGGAGUUCUGGAAAAAGAAACCAUAAGGAACAAGUCAGCAUUGGCAGAAGAUUAGGUUAGAAAUUUGAUAGACUUUUCUCUCUCUAAUUGGUAUGAUACUAUGAAUAUUGAAUAACACGAGGUUCACAAUCUUGUCUUCUUCUGUUAUUGCAUAAUAUUAACAAAUGGUGUAAAUACAG
ensembl:lncRNA